rnacentral:rRNA from 1 species
AUGUAUGAGGGACUUGCUGGUGUUGCGGCAACAAGGAACGGUUCAGGAAUAUCGCACGGCCUUCCAUCAGCUGGUGUACAAGUCCGGAUGUAUGAGGGAAACAUCAGCGAGACCAUGUUGGUGACACAGUUUGUCCUGGGACUGAAAGAGGAACUGCGUGCGGCUGUAGAGAUGCAGUUACCCACUACAGUUGCUCAUGCUUGUGAAUAUGCACUAGUUCAGGAAGCUCUGCUCGACAUGGCCAAACAAGGAAGCAAUAGGACUUUCAGGAGUUCUACUGUCACCAAACCUCAAUCUCGACCAGACCAAACACCACGGUCUCAACUUGCUGCUGGAGAUAUGUGGAAAGCCCGACAACUAAAAGAUUACAGACGACAAAAUGGGUUGUGCUACAGUUGUGGUGACAAGUUUGCACCUGGGCAUGUUUGUGCUAAUAAACAGGUAGCUCAAGCCAAGGCACUUCACAUGGCUGAGGAAGCAGCUCAUCUGUCAGAUGCAGUGUUGGAUGCCAUUGCUACAGAGGAAGCUGUAGAAGAAGCUGCUGCCCAUCUCUCAGUAAAUGCUCUGGCUGGUACUACUAACACAAAAACAAUUCAGAUUCGAGCUCUAGUGGGAAAUCAAGUGAUGUUGCUCUUAGUGGAUUCAGGCAGCUCUCACACUUUUAUAGACCAACAACUUGCAGACAAAUUAUAA